GGGGCUGUAGCUCAGCUGGGAGAGCACGAGGCUGGCAGUCUCGGGGUCAGGGGUUCAAAUCCCCUCAGCUCCACCA
rnacentral:tRNA from 1 species